rnacentral:rRNA from 1 species
AUUGAACGCUGGCGGCAGGCCUAACACAUGCAAGUCGAACGGUAACAGGAAGAAGCUUGCUUCUUUGCUGACGAGUGGCGGACGGGUGAGUAAUGUCUGGGAAACUGCCUGAUGGAGGGGGAUAACUACUGGAAACGGUAGCUAAUACCGCAUAACGUCGCAAGACCAAAGAGGGGGACCUCCGGGCCUCUUGCCAUCGGAUGUGCCCAGAUGGGAUUAGCUAGUAGGUGGGGUAACGGCUCACCUAGGCGCCGAUCCCUAGCUGGUCUGAGAGGAUGACCAGCCACACUGGAACUGAGACACGGUCCAGACUCCUACGGGAGGAAGCAGUGGGGAAUAUUGCACAAUGGGCGCAAGCCUGAUGCAGCCAUGCCGCGUGUAUGAAGAAGGCCUUCGGGUUGUAAAGUACUUUCGGCGGGGAGGAAGGGAGUAAAGUUAAUACCUUUGCUCAUUGACGUUACCCGCAGAAGAAGCACCGGCUAACUCCGUG